AGCAUAAUCGAUUCGGUGGUGAAGACAAGGUUUGGCUAUUUUGCCAGGAACCUGAACAUUUUAUAUUUGUAUAUAUGUGACAGAAUAUUUCUUUUUAUUGUACAUAGAUACCAGUAGUGUUUUGUUUUUGUUUUUUUUUGUAUAAACAAUUUAUCUGAAUAUUACUUGUCUAAUAUUAUAUAGUGCACUUAAAUUAAAAUAGUGACGUAGGUACCUAGACUGUCCUUCAAUCAGGUCACGAAACAGCGUGUACCCAGUUGUCGUUAACAAAUUGACGGCUUAAGUUUUGUGUUGUGAAGAUUGUAUAAUAAUACAAAGAAACCGUCGAUUGAUGUGAUCAUUUUAAUGUCAUUCUGUGCAACUUCAGCAGUAUGAGUAAACACUCCAUGUUAGAUAUUCGACGUCACCGUCGGAGUAUUUCUCAGUUAAUGGAAUUCACAAAUAACACUGACAGAGGAACUUCCAAUCCAACAAUGAUAAAUGACGAUGGAACCUUGGUCGAACUACGAGUACAGGGAAGUGAAAAAGCUGAAGUAGAUAUAGAAAAUAGAAAUGAGGAGGAUGACGAAACAAAGAAUUCUAGUUGUCUUCCUGAUUUUCAAUUCUCUAUAGUUGAUUCAGAUUAUGAUGAAAGACUUGCAUUUCCUGACUCUGUAACAAUUUUAUCAAAUGUGGGUGACAAACCUGUUCUAGUUGAACGGACGGAAACAGACGAUGAGGAAGCGGAUCGAAUAGAAACCAUUUCUGAAAUCCCGUUUAUAUCUAUCUAUGGCCCAUGUGUAAAAUUCAAUUCCUUUCAAAGAAAAAUAUUCAUCCCAGGUGUUGAUGUUAAAGUAAAUAUUAUUGAUACUGAACGUAGUGUAACAACACACUUUUUGAGUCCAAAUUUGUACACAAUUGAGCUCACUCAUGGAUCAUUUUCAUGGACUAUUAAAAAACGGUACAAACAUUUUAAUAGCUUACAUCAACAGCUCAUGGUGUUUCGUGCUUCACUGAAUAUUCCAUUUCCCAUCAGAAGCCAUAAGGAAAAAAGAGCUACAAUGAGAACUGUUGCAAUACAAAUGGAUGAACAAUCAACUCAAGCCCUCGAAAGCCAAAAUUCAAGUGUAACAAAAAGUAUAGUAACAGAUCAAUUGGGCUCAACAACAGUGACACGAAAAAUAAAGAAAAAACGCAAAUUACCUCGAUUUCCAAAUCGUCCAGAAUCUUUGGUUACCGCGGAGUCUAUGGAAACUAGAAAACAAGAGUUAGAGGAAUACCUUUCAAACUUACUCAACAUAAGCUUAUAUAGAUGUCAUCAUGAAACUGUGAUAGUUUCGUAGUUGUUGUGGUUUCGUACUACGUCAGUACCUUCUCAUGGAAACGUUUAAAAGAUUCUACAUUUUGUUGAAUAAGAAUGAGCCACGAGUUAAACUUUGUGGAAGUAUCAAAUUUAUCCUUUGUAUCUGGCCUUGGAAUUAAGGGGAAGGAGGGAGCCAUCUUAAAACGAACUGGAUCUACCCGUCCAGGUCAAGCUGGA